UUCCUUGUGACGCAAUAGGAACUCGUCCUUUCCGUCGACCUACCGUGAGUUGAACAUGUCGCAUACGUCUGAGCGAAGAAACGAUGAUCAAUGGUCAGGAGAUUCCAAAAAUGGUCCUAGUGAAAGUGAACAAUCGUCAUAUGAAGGGCCCUCUGGCAUGGACCCAGGUGGGAUCAUCGAAACGAAUUGGGAUGUUGUCAUCGACAACUUUGAUGAAAUGCACUUAAAAGAAGAACUCCUCCGUGGUAUUUACGCUUAUGGCUUUGAAAAACCAUCUGCAAUUCAACAACGUGCCAUUCUGCCAUGCAUAAAAGGACACGAUGUGAUUGCACAGGCACAGUCAGGAACUGGCAAGACUGCUACAUUUUCAAUCUCCAUUUUACAACAAAUCGACACUAGCAUCAAGGACUGUCAAGCUUUGAUCCUAGCCCCAACUCGUGAGCUUGCUCAACAAAUCCAAAAAGUGGUUAUCGCUUUGGGAGAUUUCAUGCAUGCCGAAUGCCAUGCAUGCAUUGGUGGUACCAAUGUACGCGAGGAUAUGCGGAAACUCGAUCAAGGUGUUCACAUAGUAGUUGGCACACCUGGUAGAGUUUACGAUAUGAUUAGUCGGCGUGCGCUACGGGCCAGUAGUAUCAAACUGUUUGUACUGGAUGAAGCUGAUGAAAUGCUUUCUCGCGGUUUCAAGGAACAGAUUCACGAUGUAUUCAAAUUAUUACCUCAGGAAGUGCAGGUUAUAUUGUUAUCUGCUACAAUGCCAACUGAUGUCUUGGAAGUGUCUACAUGCUUUAUGCGAAAUCCAAUUCGUAUACUGGUGAAAAAGGAAGAGCUCACGCUGGAGGGUAUUAAACAGUUCUUCGUCAAUGUCGAGCGCGAAGAGUGGAAAUUUGAAACUCUGUGCGACUUGUACGAUACAUUAAGUAUUACUCAGGCAGUUAUUUUCUGCAAUACACGGCGUAAAGUAGAUUGGCUAACGGAAAAUAUGCGCACUCGUGAUUUCACGGUUUCUGCGAUGCAUGGAGAUAUGGAGCAGAAAGAACGAGACCUGAUCAUGAGACAGUUCAGAACUGGAUCGUCUCGUGUCCUCAUAACUACGGAUCUUUUAGCGCGUGGUAUUGAUGUUCAACAGGUUUCGCUUGUCAUCAAUUACGAUUUACCUUCCAACCGUGAAAAUUAUAUUCAUAGAAUCGGUCGAGGCGGUCGUUUCGGUCGUAAAGGAGUGGCUAUUAACUUCGUAACAGACGACGACAAACGGGCCUUAAAAGAUAUUGAACAAUUCUAUAACACUCACAUCGAUGAAAUGCCAAUGAAUGUCGCAGAUUUAAUCUAAAAUCUGGCUAUUGGCUAUAAUUCAUUAUAAUUACAAAAAAAGAAAUAAAAGCAAUUUUGAGCAGUCCAGAAAUGAGGGAGAUAUUUUUGGAAAUAAAGACCAAAUUUCGUGAUUCA
rnacentral:misc_RNA from 1 species